rnacentral:rRNA from 1 species
AUUGAACGCUGGCGGCAUGCUUUACACAUGCAAGUCGAACGGCAGCGCGGGCUUCGGCCUGGCGGCGAGUGGCGAACGGGUGAGUAAUGCAUCGGAACGUGCCCAGUAGUGGGGGAUAGCCCGGCGAAAGCCGGAUUAAUACCGCAUACGACCUGAGGGGGAAAGCGGGGGACCGAAAGGCCUCGCGCGAUUGGAGGGGCCGAUGUCGGAUUAGCUAGUUGGUGGGGUAAAGGCUUACCAAGGCGACGAUCCGUAGCUGGUCUGAGAGGACGACCAGCCACACUGGAACUGAGACACGGCCCAGACUCCUACGGGAGGCAGCAGUGGGGAAUUUUGGACAAUGGGGGCAACCCUGAUCCAGCCAUGCCGCGUGCGGGAAGAAGGCCUUCGGGUUGUAAACCGCUUUUGUUCGGGAAGAAAUCCUCUGGGCUAAUACCCCGGGGGGAUGACGGUACCGGAAGAAUAAGCACCGGCUAACUACGUG